AGAGUUUGAUCAUGCCUUAGAUUGAACGCUGGCGGCAUGCCUUACACAUGCAAGUCGAACGGUAACAGGUCUUCGGAUGCUGACGAGUGGCGAACGGGUGAGUAAUACAUCGGAACGUGCCCGAUCGUGGGGGAUAACGGAGCGAAAGCUUUGCUAAUACCGCAUACGAUCUACGGAUGAAAGCAGGGGACCGCAAGGCCUUGCGCGGACGGAGCGGCCGAUGGCAGAUUAGGUAGUUGGUGGGAUAAAAGCUUACCAAGCCGACGAUCUGUAGCUGGUCUGAGAGGACGACCAGCCACACUGGGACUGAGACACGGCCCAGACUCCUACGGGAGGCAGCAGUGGGGAAUUUUGGACAAUGGGCGAAAGCCUGAUCCAGCCAUGCCGCGUGCAGGAUGAAGGCCUUCGGGUUGUAAACUGCUUUUGUACGGAACGAAAAGACUCCUUCUAAUACAGGGGGUCCAUGACGGUACCGUAAGAAUAAGCACCGGCUAACUACGUGCCAGCAGCCGCGGUAAUACGUAGGGUGCAAGCGUUAAUCGGAAUUACUGGGCGUAAAGCGUGCGCAGGCGGUUAUGUAAGACAGAUGUGAAAUCCCCGGGCUCAACCUGGGAACUGCGUUUGUGACUGCAUAGC
rnacentral:rRNA from 1 species